GAGUAAGCCACCGUUUCAAGCCUGCCCUAUGGAGGAAAUGCCAGUUUAUUAAAUAACGAGUAAGCCACCGUUUCAAGCCUGCCCUGUGGAGGAAAUGCCAGUUUAUUAAAUAACGAGUAAGCCACCGUUUCAAGCCUGCCCUGUGGAGGAAAUGCCAGUUUAUUAAAUAACGAGUAAGCCACCGUUUCAAGCCUGCCCUGUGGAGGAAAUGCCAGUUUAUUAAAUAACAAGUGCAGAUUGAUGAGUAUGAUCACUCCAAGCCCAUCCAGGGGCAACAGAAGAAGCCCUUUGAGGUGCACUGGAGGAAGCACACCCUGUCCUAUGUGGACGUCGGCACUGGGAAGGUCACUGUGGAAUAUAGACCCAUAAUUGACAAAACUUUGAACGAGGCUGACUGUGCCACUGUCCCCCCAGCCAUUCACUCCUACUGAUGAGACAAGAUGUGGUGAUGACAGAAUCAGCUUUUGUAAUUAUGUAUAAUAGCUCAUGCAUGUGUCAAUGUCAUAACUGUCUUUAUACGCUUCUGCACUCUGGGGAAGAAGGAGUACAUUGAAGGGGGAUUGGCACCCAGUGGCCGGGGAGCGUGGCACUUACCUUUGUCCCUUGCUUCAUUCUUGUGACAAGAUAAAACUGGGCACAGCUGUUAAAUAAAAUAUAAAUGAACAAACUUUCUUUUAUUUCCAAAUCCAUUUAAAAUAUUUUCCUGUUAUGACUUGUCAUAUUUGUUGACCUAAAAAUCAAAUGUAAUUAUCUUUGUAUUCUGUUACAUCAAAAUCCAGAUAUUUUGUUGCAGUUUCUUUUUUUUUUUUUUUUUUUUGAGACAGGGUUGGUGCAGUCUCAGCUCACUGCAGCCUCAAACUCCUGGGCAGCUCAGGUGAUCUUCCCGACUCAGCCUUCU
rnacentral:lncRNA from 10 species